CCAAUGUCUUUUACAAUCUCAACAUGACUUCCAAGCUCCUAUAUUCAAAGGAUUAAGCAAUGAAGGCAAGCAUAUGAAAGGCCUUUUUAACCACCCCGUCGAUAUGUAGCACAAACUUCAAAGAAUUAUGUACCUCCGCCCCUACGUCCUUCUAUUCUACAACACGACCCAAGGAUUGAACCUGACAUGAAUAUGGUUCAGCUACCAACUGAAUCAUCUGCCUGAGUUACCAAGAUAAUAGUGUUUUACAGGAUUUACAGCACUGAUACAGGCUCAAUAUACCUUAUUCCAAUAUAACCUUAUUCCUUUCUCCCUCAUGUUGUACAGCUUUCCCCUAAGACCAUCCAAGCUAGUAGACUCAGCGACUCCUUGCGGUAUCGAGUUCCACAUUCUGGCCAUUUUUAGGAUCAAUAAUUUGAUGUCCUUGUGAAGACAUUCGAAUCAUUAUGGGUGUGGAGCCUUUUUUAAUAAAAGGUUAAAAAGAUUUAUGACGCCUUGAAGAAAAACUUAUACUUUUGUUUCUGAACACUAGAAAAAAUACUUAUUAUGAUAACUUUCUAGAUUUACCAUUAAUGGAAUAAUAGUGAAGUUGAGGGGUGCAGAUGUUGUGACUGAACACUCGGGGACCCUUAAACCGAUACCAUGGUUUGGACAGGCUAAAAUGCGAAUGGUGGUUUGUUCUGUUUUUUUAAUUUUUUUUAAGAAGAUUACUCUCCUACAUCAUCAGCACUACAGGAUAAGUUUUUAAAGUAUAAUAGUAGUGUGGAUGUGGGGGUUCAAAGACGGUGCAUUGUUGAACUGUAUACAUCCCAAUGAUAGAUGGGUAGGAAUACUGGUGCUGGUACUGCAUAUCCUGAUGCUCGUUAAUGGCAACAUACGAGUCCCAGGUAUCGGUCUGGGGUUUUGUACAGCACAGACCGAAAGGUACUAACGACCACAGUAUAUAUAUAAUAUAUAUUAUAUAUAUAUAUAAAAUAUGUCUCACUUUUGUGAAACUGUGCCUCCAUCCCUAUGUGAGUGGGCACUAAAUACAAAACUGUGUUGGACUGGUAAAUUUUUGUACUGGUCCAUUAAUUCUACUGUGUGGGGAGGGAGGGGGAAAGAAGAAAAAAGAAGUUAGCACAACAGAAACUUCUUUUUAUAAGGAGUUGAAAAUGAGAACUGUGAAUAAUAAUUUAAUACUUUUUUCCAAAAUACAUGUUUUAUGUAGGUGACUGUCAGCAAAGAUGAGGAUUUAAAAAAUGUAUUUAAAAAAAAGACAAAAAAAAAUCUAGGCACAUUUUGUAAUUGAAUGAAAAUUGAACAGCAGCAGGGUGCACAUCUGUACGUGGAUGUAAUGGAAGAACACCACCAUUCGCACUAUAGUCUGCCUGCCACCCCCACUUCCCACCCCAACCUCCCCUCAAAGUCCUGGACUGUAAGCAUGUCUGAGAGGAGCCUCCAAUUUGCUGAAGACUUGAUCAUACACUUCUUUUUAUGGCUGUCAAAUUGCACCUGUCUGUGUAAUUGCCUGACGCAAGAAGAUGAUACAAUUAAAUAAAAGUACAGGUUUUAUUUUUAGUAUGAAAAAAAAUACAGAAAUGGUUGGUUGUGUUUGGUAUACACCGCUCUCAAAUUUGGACUCGGUAAAGUCUUCACGAGCCAUUCUAAUGACUAUUUUUUAAUUCUUAUUCUUACGUGGUGUGAUCUAAUAUGUAUGAUUAUGUUUAGCAAGUGAAUGAAUCCUAGUAUUAAUUACGUAUGUGGAAAAAAAAUUAAGUUGAUUAAAAAAAGGGAUGUUAUUAAGUUGAAGCUGUUUAACUUGUAGUAUUUGCCUUUGUACAGUUAACAGUGUAGAUAACCAGGGACUUUGGUUCUGUUUUUAAUGAGCUGAAGUUUACUGGACAUUCCGUUCAAAUUGUACUGAUUUUUUUUCUAUUAAUGCUCGAAAUGUCUAACUUUGGAAAGUGUGACUGGUUUAAAAAGAGAAAAAGAAACAGCUCUGCGCAGCAUGUUAAAGAGAUGUAUCCCUUUUAUUUUACUGACACUUGCAUUUUACACUCUAUAAUAAAAUAUCCACAACAUUUCUUUGUGGAAAUUUGGCCUGA